rnacentral:ncRNA from 1 species
UAAAAAACAAAGAACAGAAGAGUACCUUUAUUGUUUCAUUCAAGAGAGUCUUUGGUUGGUGGAAAAAGACAGAAAAAUAAGGCGAACCACAUCUGGGAGUUAACUUUUUGAAGGUAUCAGUAGGAAAGUUCGGGAGUGCCCGUUACAGCAUUAGAAGUCUAUGACUUCAUGAGGUUAUCGUUGUGAGGCGAUAAUGAAAAAAGGUGGAACCACGAAUUUUACGUCCUUUGG